rnacentral:rRNA from 1 species
CCCAAAGUACGGAAUAGCCUCUGGAAACGGAGAGUAAUACCGUAUGUGCCCUUCGGGGAAAGAUUUAUCGCCUUUGGAUUAGCCCGCGUCUGAUUAGAUAGUUGGUGGGGUAACGGCCUACCAAGUCGACGAUCAGUAGCUGGUUUGAGAGGAUGAUCAGCAACACUGGGACUGAGACACGGCCCAGACUCCUACGGGAGGCAGCAGUGGGGAAUCUUAGACAAUGGGCGCAAGUGAUCUAGCCAUGCCGCGUGAGUGACGAAGGUCUUAGGAUCGUAAAGCUCUUUCGCCAGGGAUGAUAAUGACAGUACCUGGUAAAGAAACCCCGGCUAACUCCGUGCCAGCAGCCGCGGUAAUACGGAGGGGGUUAGCGUUGUUCGGAAUUACUGGGCGUAAAGCGCACGUAGGCGGAUUAUUAAGUCAGAGGUGAAAUCCCGGGGCUCAACCCCGAACUGCCUUUGAUACUGGUAAUCUUGAGUUCGAGAGAGGUGAGUGGAAUUCCGAGUGUAGAGGUGAAAUUCGUAGAUAUUCGGAGGAACACCAGUGGCGAAGGGGCUCACUGGCUCGAUACUGACGCUGAGGUGCGAAAGUGUGGGGAGCAAACAGGAUUAGAUACCCUGGUAGUCCACACCGUAAACGAUGAAUGCCAGACGUCGGGGGGCUUGCCUUCGGUGUCACACCUAACGGAUUAAGCAUUCCGCCUGGGGAGUACGGUCGCAAGAUUAAAACUCAAAGGAAUUGACGGGGG